UUAACGUUUGGUGAGUGUGCGUUUCUUUUUUGCUGCAGCAGUAUUUAUUGCUUUCUGCUUGGUUGUUUUAGUGGAUAUAUUAUUUUAGUCUUUUUUAUGUCUUGUGUUAGCGUGUUUUAAUAAGUUUUUCCUGAUUUUGCUAGCUGUUAGUUAUCCCUUUAGUUACUCGUUUGAUUUAGUUUCUGAAUAUUUCUUUGCAUUAAUUUCAUGUAGGACUUUCGUCUUGAGUUGCAGGAUACACGGGUCUGUCUUGGCAGGUCUGUCUAUUGCCUCUAGGGAGGUAAAAUGGACUGCUAUUAAAUUAAGUACUUGGAGGUGAUCCAUGUGCUGUGCCUGUAUACAGAACAAGGUUUACCCAUUGGAUGUUGGAUUCGCAAUGAGUGAGGGCUCCUAUGAAGCAUCUGGCCGGUUGAAGUUGGCUGAAUGUGAUGGAGCCGAUCUUUUGCUUAGCAUCAGAACAAAUCUGUGCAGUUGGCUAUAAUGUCUUUGGAUGGCCUUAUUCAGGGUUGGCUUUUGGUUGAUGAAUGGAGUCUGCUCAUUGACAGGUGAAGGAGUCAAAAUGCUGUGCCCUGUUAAGGAAGGCCAUGACCUUGCCAGGAUGAGUUGCAGUUUCUUCGAUUAAGGUGAUGGAAUCCUGAUUAUCCUGAGUAUGAUCAGGACCUGAAGAUGACCAGUACCUAUUGAAGUGGCCCUUAAUUGUCAUUUAUAUAAUGUCUGGAAAUAAACAUUUUAAAUUGA